GAUGAACGCUAGCUAUAGGCUUAACACAUGCAAGUCGAGGGGAAACGGCAUUAUGUGCUUGCACAUUUUGGACGUCGACCGGCGCACGGGUGAGUAUCGCGUAUCCAACCUGCCCUUUACUUGGGGAUACCCCGUUGAAAGACGGCCUAAUACCCGAUGUAAUUCAUUGAUGGCAUCAGAUAUGAAUAAAAGAUUUAUCGGUAAAGGAUGGGGAUGCGUCUGAUUAGCUUGUUGGUGAGGUAACGGCUCACCAAGGCGACGAUCAGUAGGGGUUCUGAGAGGAAGGUCCCCCACAUUGUAACUGGGACACGGUCCAAACACCUACGGGAGGCAGCAGUGAGGAAUAUUGGUCAAUGGGCGCAAGCCUGAACCAGCCAAGUAGCGUGCAGGAAGACGGCCCUAUGGGUUGUAAACUGCUUUUAUACGAGAAUAAUUUGAUGCACGUGUGCGUUAUUGCAUGUAUCGUAUGAAUAAGGACCGGCUAAUUCCGUG
rnacentral:rRNA from 1 species